GUGGGGAAUCUUGCGCAAUGGGCGAAAGCCUGACGCUGCCAUGCCGCGUGAAUGAUGAAGGUCUUAGGAUUGUAAAAUUCUUUCACCGGGGACGAUAAUGACGGUACCCGGAGAAGAAGCCCCGGCUAACUUCGUGCCAGCAGCCGCGGUAAUACGAAGGGGGCUAGCGUUGCUCGGAAUUACUGGGCGUAAAGGGCGCGUAGGCGGACAGUUUAGUCAGAGGUGAAAGCCCAGGGCUCAACCUUGGAAUUGCCUUUGAUACUGGCUGUCUUGAGUACGGGAGAGGUGAGUGGAACUCCGAGUGUAGAGGUGAAAUUCGUAGAUAUUCGGAAGAACACCAGUGGCGAAGGCGACUCACUGGCCCGUUACUGACGCUGAGGCGCGAAAGCGUGGGGAGCAAACAGGAUUAGAUACCCGGGUAGUCC
rnacentral:rRNA from 1 species